AUGGCUCAGAUGAACGCUGCGGCAGGCCUAACACAUGCAAGUCGAACGGUAACAGGAAACAGCUUGCUGUUCGCUGACGAGUGGCGGACGGGUGAGUAAUGUCUGGGAAACUGCCUGAUGGAGGGGGAUAACUACUGGAAACGGUAGCUAAUACCGCAUAACGUCGCAAGACCAAAGAGGGGGACCUUCGGGCCUCUUGCCAUCGGAUGUGCCCAGAUGGGAUUAGCUAGUAGGUGGGGUAACGGCUCACCUAGGCGACGAUCCCUAGCUGGUCUGAGAGGAUGACCAGCCACACUGGAACUGAGACACGGUCCAGACUCCUACGGGAGGCAGCAGUGGGGAAUAUUGCACAAUGGGCGCAAGCCUGAUGCAGCCAUGCCCGCGUGUAUGAAGAAGGCCUUCGGGUUGUAAAGUACUUUCAGCGGGGAGGAAGGGAGUAAAGUUAAUACCUUUGCUCAUUGACGUUACCCGCAGAAGAAGCACCGGCUAACUCCGUGCCAGCCGCCGC
rnacentral:rRNA from 1 species